UCCCUGGCAGUCCAGUGGUUAGGACUUGGUACUCUCAUUGCCAUGGCCCUGGGUUCAAUCCCUGGACAGGGAA